rnacentral:rRNA from 1 species
UACGUAGGGGGCGAGCGUUGUCCGGAUUUAUUGGGCGUAAAGAGCUCGUAGGCGGUUCAGUAAGUCAGAUGUGAAAACUCAGGGCUCAACCCUGAGCCUGCAUUUGAUACUGCUGUGACUAGAGGCUGGUAGGGGAUCACGGAAUUCCUGGUGUAGCGGUGGAAUGCGCAGAUAUCAGGAGGAACACCGAUGGCGAAGGCAGUGAUCUGGGCCAGUUCUGACGCUGAGGUACGAAAGCGUGGGGAGCAAACAGG